AUUAAACGCUGGCGGCAUGCCUUACACAUGCAAGUCGAACGGUAGCGCGGGGCAACCUGGCGACGAGUGGCGAACGGGUGAGUAAAGCAUCGGAACGUGCCCUGGAAUGGGGGAUAACGUAGCGAAAGUUACGCUAAUACCGCAUAUUCUGUGAGCAGGAAAGCAGGGGAUCGCAAGACCUUGCGUUCUGGGAGCGGCCGAUGUCGGAUUAGCUAGUUGGUGGGGUAAAAGCCUACCAAGGCGACGAUCCGUAGCGGGUCUGAGAGGAUGAUCCGCCACACUGGGACUGAGACACGGCCCAGACUCCUACGGGAGGCAGCAGUGGGGAAUUUUGGACAAUGGGCGGAAGCCUGAUCCAGCCAUGCCGCGUGAGUGAAGAAGGCCUCGGUUGGU
rnacentral:rRNA from 1 species